rnacentral:rRNA from 1 species
AUUGAACGCUGGCGGCAGGCCUAACACAUGCAAGUCGAACGAGUGGCGGACGGGUGAGUAAUGUCUGGGAAACUGCCCGGUGGAGGGGGAUAACUACUGGAAACGGUAGCUAAUACCGCAUACCAUCGGAUGUGCCCAGAUGGGAUUAGCUAGUGGGUGGGGUAAAGGCUAACCAAGGCGACGAUCCCUAGCUGGUCUGAGAGGAUGACCAGCCACACUGGAACUGAGACACGGUCCAGCCUCCUACGGGAGGCAGAGGUGGGGAAUAGUGGACAAUGGGCGCAAGCCUGCUGCAGCCAUGCCGCGUGUAUGAAGAAGGCCUUCGGGUUGUAAGGUACUUUCAGCGAGGAGGCGUUACUCGCAGAAGAAGCACCGGCUAACUCCGUGCCAGCAGCCGCGGUAAUUC